rnacentral:rRNA from 1 species
UACGUAGGGGGCAAGCGUUGUCCGGAAUCAUUGGGCGUAAAGAGCGUGUAGGCGGCCCGGUAAGUCCGCUGUAAAAGUCAAAGGCUUAACCUUUGAAUGUCAGUGGAUACUGCCGGGCUAGAGUCCGGAAGAGGCGAGUGGAACUCCUGGUGUAGCGGUGGAAUGCGCAGAUAUCAGGAAGAACACCAACGGCGAAGGCAGCUCGCUAGGACGGUACUGACGCUGAGACGCGAAAGCGUGGGAGCGAACAGG